UUGAUGGGGGAAAAUUCGAAUCAUCGGCAUGAGUUUCCCUGUUUCAGCGUUGUGAAUAAAAAAUUCUGUUGGAUGGCUGUUGAUCUAGGAAGGAUAGGGGAGUUGGCUUUGGAUGGUUGUUGAUUUAUCCUGAAGUCCAAUGUCAUUUAAUUCUUACUAAACCGCUUCAGACUGAACUCGACCAGAUAAAAUAAAUAAGACCGUGACUUAAUAAAAGGGUUAAUCAAAUAUUUUUCCAUACAAUUAUAACUUUCAAUCUAAUCAGAACCAAAGCCCAUUUAAUUAUAACCUUAGCCGGAUCAACACAAUCUCCUUAUAUGUUUUUCUGUAGCUUUCAUGAAAGAUUGCAACCAAGAGAGAGACAAGUUCAGAAUCUGGUUUAAGAAAAGAAUUAUUUUUUUUUCACCAUAUUUUAAAUUUAUUUCAACGAUUAUUCAAUUUUAUAGUAAAAUACGUAUUUAUCAGUUUAAGAACAUUGAUAAGUGCCAUGAAAAGAUAACUAGACUAUAAAUUAUUAAGCACUUAUCAAGUUCACCCUACCCCACCCAAGGACAACAUUAAGAGGGGAGCUAAUAGUAGUCUGAAGGAAAAGAAACCUGGAUUGAACCUAAUCAAUGCUAAGAAAUU
rnacentral:lncRNA from 1 species